ensembl:snRNA U6 U6 spliceosomal RNA
GUCCCCCCUUGGCAGCAUGUAUACUAAAAUUGGAACAAGGGAAGAUUAGUGUUGUUCCUGUGCAAGGCUGACAUACAAAUUGGUAGAGCGUUCCGUAUUUUU